AGAGUUUGAUCCUGGCUCAGAGCGAACGCUGGCGGCGUGCUUAACACAUGCAAGUCGAGUGCGCGUCUGUAGCAAUACAGAUGGCGCACGGCGCACGGGUGCGUAACACGUGGGUAAUCUGCCCUUCGAUGGGGAAUAACUCCGGGAAACCGAAGCUAAUUCCGCAUAACAUUCCUUGAACUUCGGUUUGGGGAUUCAAAGCCGUAAGGCGUCGGAGGAGGAACCCGCGCACGAUUAGCUAGUUGGUAGGGUAACGGCCUACCAAGGCUUUGAUCGUUAGCUGGUCUGAGAGGAUGGCCAGCCACACUGGAACUGAGACACGGUCCAGACUCCUACGGGAGGCAGCAGUGGGGAAUCUUGCACAAUGGGCGAAAGCCUGAUGCAGCGACGCCGCGUGGGGGAUGAAGCUUUUCGGAGUGUAAACCCCCUUCGACCCGGACGAAUGCCCCGCAAGGGGACUGACGGUACGGGUAUAAGAAGCCCCGGCUAACUACGUGCCAGCAGCCGCGGUAAGACGUGGGGGGCCAGCGUUGCUCGGAAUUACUGGGUGUAAAGGGUCAGUAGGCGGUGUGGCAAGUCGGGAGUGAAAUCUCUGGGCUCAACUCAGAGACUGCUUCCGAAACUGCCGUGCUAGAGUGUGGGAGAGGCGCGUGGAAUUGCAGGUGUAGCGGUGAAAUGCGUAGAUAUCUGCAGGAACACCCGUGGCGAAAGCGGCGCGCUGGACCACAACUGACGCUGAAUGACGAAAGCUAGGGGUGCAAACAGGAUUAGAUACCCUGGUAGUCCUAGCCCUAAACGAUCAGGACUUGGGGUGCCGCACGUUCGUGCGUCGUCCCGGAGCUAACGCGUUAAGUCCUGCACCUGGGGAGUACGGUCGCA
rnacentral:rRNA from 1 species